rnacentral:rRNA from 1 species
CGGGAGGCAGCAGUGAGGAAUAUUGGGCAAUGGAGGCAACUCUGACCCAGCCAUGCCGCGUGCAGGAAGACUGCCCUAUGGGUUGUAAACUGCUUUUAUACGGGAAGAAACCCAACUACGUGUAGUUGGCUGACGGUACCGUAAAAUAAGCACCGGCAA